CUGAGCUGCACAACAAACCAAGCCUCUCUGACUGUGAGUCCCAGCAGCUCUCAGCUGUUUGAAGGAGAGUCUGUCUCUCUGAGCUGUGAGGAGGACGACAGCUCUGCUGGAUGGACGCUGAGGAGGAACACAAGCAGAGGAACCAGGACUCAGUGUGAUGACUGGGGAAAAUCAGCUGGUUCUUCCUGUUACAUCAGCUACAUCACCCCAUGGGACAGUGGAGUUUACUGGUGUGAGUCCAGAGAGGGAGCAACCAGUAACACCAUCAGCAUCACUGUCACUGGUGGACCAGUGAUCCUGCAGAGUCCUGUCCUCCCUGUGAUGGAGGGACAUGAUGUCACUCU